GGCUGUAGUCACUCCCUGGAGUGUUUCAGGGACUGCAAAGUUACUCCAAGGGAGGAGGGCGUGAAGAGAGUGGCAAACCCAGAGGAGUGAGGAAGGCUAGAAAGUAUGGAAGCAGCUCAGGGAAAGGGAAACCACAAUAGUGACCUGGCUGGAGGACUGAGUCAUGAAGAGGACAGCUGUGGCUCCUGAAAGCUGAAGAGGAAGUGUGGAAGAGAAAAUGGGAUUUAACUGCUGGAAGGGGGUGAGCUAAUCUCGAGAACUGCCAGGGAGCAACACUAUCUAGUGGGGUCUUCAAGUUGGACAUAACAAAAUGGAAAAUCAUUCCAGCAUGAAACUUGAUAUAAGACCAUAGGGAUGCAAAGGCCAGCUUCUAAUCUGGCAUAAACCUGCAUGGGUCAACUGUCAACUUCCCUCCUGGACACCAUUCCCACCCCACAUUCUACCCUCUGCUCUAGCCCACGCUGGAGGUCCACCUCCAACAGUACCUUCAGGAACCCUG